GCCGGCGUGGCGAAAUGGCAGACGCAAGGGACUUAAAAUCCCUUUCCGCGAAAGUGGAGUGCGGGUUCGAGUCCCGCCGCCGGCA
rnacentral:tRNA from 1 species